GAUGAACGCUGGCGGCGUGCUUAAUACAUGCAAGUCGAACGAAGCACCUUGGACAGAAUCCUUCGGGAGGAAGACCAUUGUGACUGAGUGGCGGACGGGUGAGUAACGCGUGGGUAACCUGCCUUGUACAGGGGGAUAACAGUUGGAAACGACUGCUAAUACCGCAUAAGCGCACAGUACCGCAUGGUACGGUGUGAAAAACUCCGGUGGUACAAGAUGGACCCGCGUCUGAUUAGCUGGUUGGUGAGGUAACGGCCCACCAAGGCGACGAUCAGUAGCCGACUUGAGAGAGUGAUCGGCCACAUUGGGACUGAGACACGGCCCAAACUCCUACGGGAGGCAGCAGUAGGGAAUAUUGCACAAUGGGGGAAACCCUGAUGCAGCGACGCCGCGUGAAGGAAGAAGUAUUUCGGUAUGUAAACUUCUAUCAGCAAGGAAGAAAAUGACGGUACUUGACUAAGAAGCCCCGGCUAAAUACGUGCCAGCAGCCGCGGUAAUACGUAUGGGGCAAGCGUUAUCCGGAUUUACUGGGUGUAAAGGGAGCGUAGGCGGCAUGGCAAGUCAGAAGUGAAAGCCUGGGGCUCAACCCCGGAAUUGCUUUUGAAACUGUCAGGCUAGAGUGUCGGAGGGGUAAGCGGAAUUCCUAGUGUAGCGGUGAAAUGCGUAGAUAUUAGGAGGAACACCGGUGGCGAAGGCGGCUUACUGGACGAUUACUGACGCUGAGGCUCGAAAGCGUGGGGAGCAAACAGGAUUAGAUACCCUGGCAGUCCACGCCGUAAACGAUGA
rnacentral:rRNA from 1 species